GUGGGGAAUAUUGGACAAUGGGCGAAAGCCUGAUCCAGCCAUGCCGCGUGAGUGAUGAAGGCCUUAGGGUUGUAAAGCUCUUUCAGUAGGGAAGAUAAUGACGGUACCUACAGAAGAAGCCCCGGCUAACUUCGUGCCAGCAGCCGCGGUAAUACGAAGGGGGCUAGCGUUGUUCGGAUUUACUGGGCGUAAAGCGCACGUAGGCGGAUUGGUCAGUUAGAGGUGAAAUCCUGGAGCUCAACUCCAGAACUGCCUUUAAUACUGCCAGUCUAGAGUCCAGAAGAGGUGAGUGGAACUCCUAGUGUAGAGGUGGAAUUCGUAGAUAUUAGGAAGAACACCAGUGGCGAAGGCGGCUCACUGGCUCGAUACUGACGCUGAGGUGCGAAAGCGUGGGGAGCAAACAGGAUUAGAAACCCGAGUAGUCC
rnacentral:rRNA from 1 species